UACGUAGGGGGCAAGCGUUGUCCGGAAUCAUUGGGCGUAAAGAGCGUGUAGGCGGCCCGGUAAGUCCGCUGUGAAAGUCCAGGGCUCAACCCUGGGAUGCCGGUGGAUACUGUCGGGCUCGAGUCCGGAAGAGGAGUGUGGAAUUCCUGGUGUAGCGGUGAAAUGCGCAGAUAUCAGGAGGAACACCAAUGGCGAAGGCGGGCUACUGGGCCGAUACUGACGCUGAUGCGCGAAAGCCAGGGGAGCGAACGGG
rnacentral:rRNA from 1 species